rnacentral:antisense_RNA from 1 species
CUUUAUGGCGGGUCGUACGGGCAACCCUCGGGUUGGCCGGUUUUCCUUUUGUCCGGUUUUGUGACCCCGUACAGCCCGCCUUCCUA